UUCUACUCAAAACUUGUAAAAUUUUCCUGAUUCUUGAUGUUCCAUAUCUUCUAGCUUAUUCCUUCCUUCCACCUCCACUCUCCACUUUUAUUCCUCUAUAAAUUCUAGAGAUGACCAGACCUCCUGCUUCUCUAAGAUCUAUGUUGAGCCUUUGUAUUUAACAUCUCAAAACAUCUGCCAACAUUUUCAUCCUUCUCUCCAGCCUCUGAUUAUACGUAUGCCUCUCUCCCUCCAAAGUGAGCUUUUGACUUCUACCUUCUGUUGAACCCAGGAGAGACCCCCUUUCCUCCAUUCCUCUCGCAUCCUUUCUAUUUCUUUUUCUCCCCUGGCUCCUCCCCACCUGCCUUUAAACAUACCCAGAUCCCCUCAUUUUGAAAAACCUCUCAUUUUUCACUUUGUUCCUUGCCCACCUCUAGCUGCUUCCCUCUGCUCCAUUCACUAUCAAAGCUCUAAAAACAUCAUCACACAGGUUCUACCUGUAUUUCCACAUCACUGAACUGUUCCACGAUUCCAUGACCUUUUGCUUCCAACCCAAGCAUUCAAUGGAAAGAAUUACUCUUAAAGUUCACCAGCAGUUUGUUUAUUGACACAUUCUUCAGCCUUUAGUCCUAAUUCUUCUUGAUUUCGUUGCUUCUUUCAACACCGAUGGCCACUGUCCACCCUACCAACACCAGCAACUUAUUUACCUCUUUUCGUCUUAGUCUAGUAUUCUUUCUCUCAGAACUGGGGUCCAGUCCUGAGUGCUGAUAAACCUGACGGCGAGCACUCCUGGCUACCCCUGUCACCUGACCCAACAGCUCCCAUUUGACAGCGAGAGGCGUAGGGAUGAGCAGGUGGGCCGUUUCUGAUCCAGGGUAAAGGGGAGACCUCUUAGGAGCUCAGGGAAACAUUUUACUUCCUGUAAGAGAGAGGACCAAGGAGAAAAGCACUUUUUCCUGCCCAUCCCUUUUUCCUUGGGAUGUUGUCACAUGAGAACAUGAAGUCCUGAGCUGUGCCACCUUGUCACCAAGAAGGAAGGUCAACAGAAGAGCAUGGAAGCCAAGACUGUUUCUGGCAUCAAGGAAAGCUUCCAAGUCAAUGCUAUCCUAGAUGUUUCCACUCGGAUUCUCACACCAUGAGCUUAAAGCGGCGUGUUCAAAUCCACCCUGAUCAGUUUCCCCCUAAAGUCUUCAGUCACCUUCAUAAAGACUAAGAAGCCCUUUGAGCUUUAUUAGAAGAAUGUGCAUCUCCAACCAGCUAGUUGUGGUGGGGGAUGGGGCCAAUGUGCAGACACGACAGACAGAAUUCAAUGUUCCUGUCUUAAUGAGGCUUAUCUCUGGGUGUGCUAGGUAUUUCACAAUGGAUUUGGGUAUAAAGGUGUGGAUGACGCACAGAAUACCCAGCAGGAAGUGGCCAAAGAUAACGCUGAAAUGAAGACCAUCAGGAGGCCACGAGAGAUGCCUUCCUAAAGAGCAAGGCUUUGGUAGUGUAGAUCGUAUCAGAUUUUAAGCGGUGGAACAGCAUGAUCAGAUUUACAUUUUGCAGAAAUAGCUUCAGCAACAGCAUGAAGAAUGGAUCAGAAGAUGAAAGCCUGAGAUACCGGAGCUCUCAAGGCAGUUAACUGAGCCAAGCAGCAGUUGCCAAGAUCCCUUCUUAGCUGAGGUAGCCCUGCCAACGACGGAGCAAAGCACGGUGAAAACCCCCACCGACACGGGACGCCUCCGCCAGGCACUCCUGACUCCGGAGCUCUCUGAGGGGCUCAGAGACCGUCAGAGCUGCCUUGCAGUCAGAUGGCCCCCUCUGCCCAGGAAAUCUUGUGCACUUAGCCUCUGCAUCCCAGAGAACCCAGCUGACACCACAUACAUGAGUUAACGCCUAUUAUUUGAUUUGGUUAAAUAAGCAUUUAAUAAACAUUAAAAAGGUGA